ensembl:lncRNA
UGUAUAUCGGCGUGCAAGCCCGGAAAGUACUAGGAACAACUUACUUAACGUGUAGCUGGAGAUGAAGUGGGUACUCUGAGCCUGGCGGCAGACUGGAUGUAGCCUUUGUCAGAAUAGCAGUAUUUCAGUCUGAAAGCACAGCAUUUCUGUGACCAGCUGCUUGUGUUUCUGCUGCAUUGGCCCACAGCGAUUCAGACAACACAGAGCAACACAGAAGUGUACUGCAGUUCAUCAUUUAAGACUGCAUCAAAAAUAGGAGCUGAAUGCAGUGUGUGUGCAGCAGGAGCCUACAGAGGAAGCUGGGCCAGUGAGAAUGCAGAGCAGUCUGGUGACGAUGGCAGCCCUGGACAGCAGCACAGCAAAUGAUUGACCACCUGAGGCGAGCACUGAGUCAGCCG